rnacentral:rRNA from 1 species
AAUAGAUACCCUGGUAGUCCACGCCGUAAACGAUGAGUGCUAAGUGUUGGGGGGUUUCCGCUCCUCAGUGCUGCAGCUAACGCAUUAAGCACUCCGCCUGGGGAGUACGGUCGCAAGACUGAAACUCAAAGGAAUUGACGGGGGCCCGCACAAGCGGUGGAGCAUGUGGUUUAAUUCGAAGCAACGCGAAGAACCUUACCAGGUCUUGACAUCCCGGUGACCACUAUGGAGACAUAGUUUCCCCUUCGGGGGCAACGGUGACAGGUGGUGCAUGGUUGUCGUCAGCUCGUGUCGUGAGAUGUUGGGUUAAGUCCCGCAACGAGCGCAACCCUUAUUCUUAGUUGCCAUCAUUCAGUUGGGCACUCUAAGGAGACUGCCGGUGAUAAACCGGAGGAAGGUGGGGAUGACGUCAAAUCAUCAUGCCCCUUACGACCUGGGCUACACACGUGCUACAAUGGACGGUCAAACGGUUGCCAACCCGCGAGGGGGAGCUAAUCCGAUAAAACCGUUCUCAGUUCGGAUUGUAGGCUGCAACUCGCCUAC